rnacentral:rRNA from 1 species
AUAAAAUCUUUAUGAUGAAAGUUAAAAUUUGAACUCAGAAGGGCAGUUUUAGUUUUGUUUUUAAGGUUAGACGAAUCCUGUGCCAGCAGUCGCGGUUAUACAGGAUAGCCAAUUAAAAUAGUAUAAUUAGAAUUAAUUAUUUUUAUAGAAAUUUUUUAUGUUUUUAGGUUAAAUUUAAAAUAUAAAGUUAUUUUAAUUAUGUGUUAGAAAAUUAUUUUAUAAAACCAGGAUUAGAUACCCUGUUAUAUUAAUAGGAUAUAAGUAGUAAAUGUUUUUCAUGAAACUUAAAAAAUUUGGCGGUAUUUCAAUCUUUUUAAAGGAAUUUGUUCUAUAGGGGAUAUAACACCGAUAUCUUUUCUUUUUUUAUAAUAUAGUAUGUCUACCGCUAUUUAUAUUAUACUUAAUAGUAAUAAUAGAGGUAAUUAUUAUUUAUAAAUUUAGGUCUAGGUGCAGCUUAUAAAAAGGAUGAAAUGAAUUAUAUUAGUUAGAUUUAGCUAAUUUUUUAAAGAAUUUUAAGAAAUAAGUAAGAUUUAAAAGUAAAUUUAUGAGAGAAUCUUAAGUUGAAAUAAGCUCUGAAGUAUGUACAUAUCGCCCGUCGCUCUCAUGAAUAAUUGAGAUAAGUCGUAACAAAGUAAAUAUACCGGAAGGUGUUU